UUUUUUAAUGCUCGUCGUAAUUUUCCAAUGUGAAAGUUUUGCUGGUGGUCUAUUGUUAUCAGUGUGUGCGUUGUGCGAGAGCGUCAAAGACAAUUAAAACGUAUAAACUCUUUGUAUUAAAAAUUUGCUGGUCCUUACGUGCACAGAUAGAAUUAUCGUGAAGCCAUCAAUUUUCAUGAAAUGUGUGCGUUGAGCGGGAGCGUCAAAGACAAUUAAAACAUAUAAACUCUUUGUAUUAAAAAUUUGCUGGUCCUUACGUGCACAGAUAGAGUUAUCGUCAAGCCAUCAAUUUUCAUGAAAUUAUUGCUACCGAAAGAAUACAUCUCUACAAUCUUUUCUGUGUACAACGUUCAUCGAUCCAUCCAUCGAUCCAUCUUCAGCUUUACUAUCAUCACAACUUUACGACAGUGCAAAGUUAUUGGUACCGAAGAAUACAGCUCCACAAUCUCUCUGCGCACAACGUUCAUCGAUCCAUCCUCUAUCUCCAGCUUUACUAUCAUC